rnacentral:rRNA from 1 species
AUGCGCCGGCCCAUCCCCCUCCUAAGGCCCAGCGCCCCACUCCCACCUAAACCUAGCCCAUCUCCCUCGAACCCCCCUCCUCCUCAUUCGUGCUUCCAAGCGCCGCCAGGAGAGCGUCGCAGGCGCACGCAGCCGAGCCUGAUCCACUCGAUCUCUCUCUCCCGAUCCCUUUUUCCUCCUCCCGUCAAUCCCUCCAUCGCAGACGCCGCCGCCCGUCGCCAUCAACUCCUCGGGCCGCCGCGGCCUCCCUCUCCACCUUCUCCAGCGAGCCAGCGUCCGCCUCCUGCUCGCCUCGCCAUGGCGCGCCCCCGACCAGGCGCCACUCCACAUCUGGAGUGCCCCUGCUCCCUUCUCCUCCUCGCGGCUGCUCGGCGCCUCAUCAGCGAGCUCCGCCGUCCCCUCCUUCGUCGUUUUCCCUGCCGGGCCCCUCUUCCUCCGUGCCGUCUUCGUCGAGCACCAGGAGCUCGACCUCGUGCCCUCACUGCUGCGCUGCCACACCACGGCAACCGCGCCCUGCUGCCGCUGCUCUUCUGCACGUCGUCGGCUGCGACCACCAGGGGGCUGCCGCUCGACUCACACCCCUGCUGCCGGCGACUGGGGCCGCUGGAGCAUGUCUGCCGUCGACCUCCUCGGCCAACCGGGUCAUGCCAUCCCUUCGUCGCGGCCUCUGCUACGUUAGACCAUGACCAGCCCCGCGUUGAAUCCCUGGCAUCUUCCGCGAGCACAACAACUAUAAGCCCUGCUGCCUUCGGUUGCGGCCGGUUUGUUUGUCAUGUUGGACACCGACGCCCGCAAAUUUUGGACGCGCCAAGUUCCGUUUCGAAAUGUUCAAUUACAUCCGAUGAGGAUUUCGACAAGUACCACGACGCCCGGAGUCCUCGGAUCCGUCAAGUUCCUUUAUGA